rnacentral:rRNA from 1 species
GAUGAACGCUGGCGGCGUGCCUAAUACAUGCAAGUCGAGCGAACGGACGAGAAGCUUGCUUCUCUGAUGUUAGCGGCGGACGGGUGAGUAACACGUGGAUAACCUACCUAUAAGACUGGGAUAACUUCGGGAAACCGGAGCUAAUACCGGAUGAUAUUUUGAACCGCAUGGUUCAAAAGUGAAAGACGGUCUUGCUGUCACUUAUAGAUGGAUCCGCGCUGCAUUAGCUAGUUGGUAAGGUAACGGCUUACCAAGGCAACGAUGCAUAGCCGACCUGAGAGGGUAUCAGGCAACACGGAACUUGGAAACGGUUCAAACCCCUAAGGGAGGCAGCAAGUGGGAAAUUUUCCGAAUUGGCGGAAGCCUUAACGGGGCAAGGCGCGGUGAGUGAUGAAGGCCUCCGAUUGGAAAACUCCUUUAUUAGGGAAGAACAUAUGUGUAAGUAACUGUGCACAUCUUGACGGUACCUAAUCAGAAAGCCACGGCUAACUACGUG